rnacentral:rRNA from 1 species
UACGUAGGUGGCAAGCGUUAUCCAGAAUUAUUGGGCGUAAAGAGCGCGCAGGUGGUUGAUUAAGUCUGAUGUGAAAGCCCACGGCUUAACCGUGGAGGGUCAUUGGAAACUGGUCGACUUGAGUGCAGAAGAGGGAAGUGGAAUUCCAUGUGUAGCGGUGAAAUGCGUAGAGAUAUGGAGGAACACCAGUGGCGAAGGCGGCUUCCUGGUCUGUAACUGACACUGAGGCGCGAAAGCGUGGGGAGCAAACAGGAUUAGA